UGACCGUUGGGGCCGUUUGAGGAGAAAAGUGUCGGCUGAGCUUUGCGAGAGAGCCGCUCCCCGUCAGUUUUCGAUUUUCUCGACGCAGUUUUCAAGGUUUUCGAGGUCAAAAUACCGAGAAGCGCCAUCCCUAUUCACAACAAGGAACAGAAGUCAGUGAACCUUACCUGAACCUGCCGAUUCUCCUCAAGUGAGAGAACAUCUCUCCUCCUGGAACAUACUCCAUUAUCAUAUAGAGGGUUGCAGUGGGUCUGGUUCCACUUGGUAACAUGGAGCACAAGGCAGGAAUACCCUGGACAGGCCAUCAAUCCAUUGCAGGGCUUCACCACCCCCUCCUCAGACAUAGCCAGUCAUGUCUGUGAAGAUGUUCAUCUGGCUGAUAGUGGUAAGCUAGCAAAAUAGACCGCUGUGCCAACUGGGUGCAGUUUUUUUGCAUGUUGUUCCAAGGUCUAGAAUAUAAUGCAAAGUUGGUGUUGUCUAAUGCUGUUACACAUUGUUUCAGAAUUUGUAUUUAAGUAUAUAACCUACUGUAUAA